GCCGGGCGCGGUGGCUCACGCCUGUAAUCCCAGCACUUUGGGAGGCCGAGACGGGCGGAUCACGAGGUCAGGAGAUCGAGACCAUCCUGGCUCAGCCAGGAUGGUCUCGAUCUCCUGACCUCGUGAUCCGCCCGUCUCGG
rnacentral:SRP_RNA from 1 species